AUUUAUUUUUAAAUUUUAUUAUUAAACUUUUUUGAAAUCAUAUGUCCUUUAUUUAACUUUUAUUAUUUUUUGUUCCUUAUUAUUGAACUUAGUCAUGUAUCAUAACUAUGCAUUGAACGGAACUUGUGACGGAAGACGGUGAACAGUGAAGUUUCAAUCUUUGUUGUUUUCUGUCUAAACAUGCGUUCCACACCUGUCGAAAUCUGGGCUUUAUUAAAAAACUAUCUUCUCUAUUUUUUUAAUCAUUAAUUUUCGUAUGUAAAGUCCAGAUUGUUGGGUAUCAACAAAACUACUUGUUAUGUUUUUUUAUGGCUUUCCAUAUUAAUGGAUUUGGUCGA
rnacentral:lncRNA from 1 species